AAACGGGCUCUUAACCACUGACACUAAACGUCAGGGUGAGCAGAUCAAAAGGGUAAUGAGGAUAAGACCUCAUAGCUCUUAACCCUGGACAGGGUAAGCUCAUGACAAAAAGUGGGGAUUCAGAAAGGUGGAACCCUCUCCACUGACCGACCGGACAAAAGAUCUUGGGCUUUUGUUCUGAAGCAUCGACACAUAGUGCGAGCAUAAAGAACGACACACAGAAUAACAGGGGAUUGACUACUAAUCCCUUUUAU
rnacentral:lncRNA from 1 species